rnacentral:rRNA from 1 species
UACAGAGGGGGCAAGCGUUAUUCGGAAUUAUUGGGCGUAAAGGGCGCGUAGGCGGCCUGGCAAGUGGAAGGUGAAAUCCCUCGGCUUAACCGAGGAACUGCCCUCCAAACUGCUUGGCUUGAGUCCGGGAGAGGUGAGUGGAAUUCCCAGUGUAGCGGUGAAAUGCGUAGAUAUUGGGAGGAACACCAGUGGCGAAGGCGGCUUACUGGACCGGAACUGACGCUGAGGCGCGAAAGCGUGGGGAGCAAACGGG